rnacentral:rRNA from 1 species
GGUUGUAAACCUCUUUCAGCAGGGAAGAAGCGCAAGUGACGGUACCUGCAGAAGAAGCACCGGCUAACUACGUGCCAGCAGCCGCGGUAAUACGUAGGGUGCGAGCGUUGUCCGGAAUUAUUGGGCGUAAAGAGCUCGUAGGCGGCCUGUCGCGUCGGAUGUGAAAGCCCGGGGCUCAACCCCGGGUCUGCAUUCGAUACGGGCAGGCUGGAGUGUGGUAGGGGAGAUCGGAAUUCCUGGUGUAGCGGUGAAAUGCGCAGAUAUCAGGAGGAACACCGGUGGCGAAGGCGGAUCUCUGGGCCAUUACUGACGCUGAGGAGCGAAAGCGUGGGGAGCGAACAGGAUUAGAUACCCUGGUAGUCCACGCCGUAAACGUUGGGAACUAGGUGUUGGCCCGCAUUCCACGUGGUCGGUGCCCGUAGCUAACGCAUUAAGUUCCCCGCCUGGGGAGUACGGGCCGCAAGGCUAAAACUCAAAGGAAUUGACGGGGGCCCGCACAAGCGGCGGAGCAUGUGGCUUAAUUCGACGCAACGCGAAGAACCUUACCAAGGCUUGACAUACACCGGAAACUGGCAGAGAUGUCAGCCCCCUUGUGGUCGGUGUACAAGUGGUGCAUGGUUGUCGUCAGCUCGUGUCGUGAGAUGUUGGGUUAAGUCCCGCAACGAGCGCAACCCUUGUCCUGUGUUGCAACGGGUUAUGCC